rnacentral:sRNA from 1 species
UUUGUUUGAUGAGUUUCUGAAUGU